CCAUCCAACCUGGCCUUGAACACCUCCAAGGACGGGGCAUCCACAACCUCUCUGGGCAGGACUUCACUUGGACAUCUCACGGGAGGGAGGUGAAUGAGCUUAUUGUUGGAGCUAGCUGCCUCAGGAUCUGGCUGGAAAAGAUGUAUCCAAGGGGUGCUCUACUGGAAGGGGAAGAUGGAGGAUGUUGAGCCUACAGCAUCAGCUCCUCCCUUCCUGCUAAAGGCCCUACUGGGGAGGAGAGGACAUACCAUGCUUCAUGGCAGUUGCCUGCCUUCAGCUAUGAUGAAGGUUUUACAGCCUUACGGAUUGGAAGGAGAAAGGUCCCUUGAGACACCUCUUCCCGCUCCAGGUCCCACCGUUCAUCACAGCAUGGGCCUGGCCCAAUGGAUCACCUUCAUGGCCCUCCUCUGCUCACUCGACCUGCCUUUCUCGAUGGUGCUUCUCGCAUGGAUUAAAAACAUUUUAAAUAUGUAUCAUUUUUGCGCUCUCUGCAUAUCUGCGCCUUUCAUAUCCACAUCUUAAAUUCAUCCCCUCUCUGUCAGUUGUUUGUAAAUGUCCCCAGGUGUUUAACUCUUAUUCCCUCAAUCCUCCCAGCUAUUGUUGGCGAAUAUGGCUGUUACAUAUUCCUGCUAUUUCUGAAAGGUCAAAAGAAAACGUAAAAGUGCCAUUUCUUUUCUUUUCUCCCUUCAAAGCUGCAAAAUGAAAUGCUGUGCUUGUGCAGUCCCCUUUGCUCUUAUGCAAAGACUCUUUUUCAGUACACCUUAUAUUGUAUUUACUGCAAGUGUUCAGGAUGCAAAAUUAUUUCCUCAAAUUAUUAGAAAUGAGAAGCUGUAAUAGCCUUUUACUCUGUUUCAGAACAUACCUCUCUAUCACAACAGUCUAUUUUCUACACUUUGCUCUCAUCUUCCUGCAACCCAUCUUACAAAUGAGAUGUAAAAUUGUGGCUCCGGAUGCUCAUGGACCCAACCCUGCAGCAUUUACGCACCUGUUUAAGUUGAAUCAUGUGAGGUUUUCAUAGUGGAUUGAAUGUGUGCAAUGGUGAAUACUUGAACUAUGGAAAUUACUCCAAAGCAGUUUGCAGUUCUUAAAGAGCAAUGCAUUAAACUGGGAUGCGCUGCCUGCUCAUCAGACAGUUCUGGACAGAAUGCUGUAAAGGAUGGACUUGGAGCAAACGGAGAGUAAAAUGUGCUCCUGUGCUCAGUACCUUUAUGCUCACUCCUUGCUACUGCUAUUGUACAAGUCCUGAUCGUACACUAUUUAGCCCUCAGCAAUGCAACAGAAUCCCCAGGUUUUCAGUACGGAGCUGCACUUGGGGAUGCUAACAAAGCCUCAUUAAUUGAUUACAAAACAGUUCAGCACUCUGCACUGUUCCUGCAUUGCCUACAGAGCUGGCAGCCUCCUUGCUCAAAGCCCAGCUGUGUGCCCAGGGUCCGGUCCUUGCCUUUAAAGCCCAACCAGCUGAAAGAUGACCUUUCUCUCUGACCUACAUUUUUCAUAGGAAUAAAGCAACAGAUGACUCCAAGCAGCACCUCACAGCUCUUUAUGCAAACCCCUAGCAAUGGAGCUCCCCAGUGAAAGGCAUUGAGCUUAGCUCAUAGCUCUCCCUGCGAGGGAGAUAGCUAAUAGCAGCGUUGCCAUUGCCUUAUGCAGAAGCAGAGUCAAAUCCCAGCAUGUCUUUUAACACCAGUUACUCCUCAACAUCUCAGCAAACCAGGCAUCCUUUCCCCUAAAAAAGCUUCCAUCCCAUCACACCGUGAACAAUCCCCACUUUUUGCUCAGCAUCCUUUGAGCUUUCCAUUCUUGCACGUCGCCACCGAAACAGAAAGAUCAGACAAAAGAAGCUGAGCCACCACCUGGGACGAAGCUGAAAGAGAUGCAGGAGCAGAUAUCUCCAUCUGCAUUCUCGAGGAUUUGUGAGCAGCGGGAACCAGCUGCAGUGCUCCCUGAGAUGCAGGGAUCCUACAUCUCAGGAGGCCCCAGUGGCACCUGCAAGGUCACCCCUGCUCAGCAUGCUGUGGGGCUCCAAAUAUGGUGAGCAAAAGGAGCCCGGAAAGAAUAAAGCAGAAGAAAAAUGAGCGUUUCCUCAGAUGUAUGCAGAAGGUAAAUUAUGGGGCUACUUAAAUUGUCUAAAAUCACUUUCUCUCCAGG